rnacentral:rRNA from 1 species
UACGUAGGGGGCAAGCGUUGUCCGGAUUUAUUGGGCGUAAAGAGCGUGUAGGCGGUUUGGUAGGUCCGUUGUGAAAACUCGAGGCUCAACCUCGAGACGCCGAUGGAAACCAUCAGACUAGAGUCCGGAAGAGGAGAGUGGAAUUCCUGGUGUAGCGGUGAAAUGCGCAGAUAUCAGGAAGAACACCGGUGGCGAAGGCGGUUCUCUGGGCCUUACCUGACGCUGAGGAGCGAAAGCGUGGGGAGCGAACAGG